rnacentral:other from 1 species
CAGUCCCUGCUGUGUGCGUGUGUCCUGUGACUGUAUGGCUCGUUAAACCCACAUCUCUCAUAAGGGAUGCCGAUUUGAGUCUGUGGAUUGCAGGCCUCCCGGCCCUUCGGGUCGGACGUUGGAAGCAGAGAAUCAGAACUUAGGCGACCCACCUGCCCAAACGUGCAGGUUAUCAAUGAGCCAACACGGCAUUUGCGGGGAUGCU